rnacentral:rRNA from 1 species
CAAUAGCGUAUAUUAAAGUUGUUGCGGUUAAAAAGCUCGUAGUUGGAUUUCUGCUGAGGAUGACCGGUCCGCCCUGUGGGUGUGCAUCUGGCUCAGCCUUGGCAUCUUCCUGGAGAACGUAGCUGCACUUGACUGUGUGGUGCGGUAUUUAGGACAUUUACUUUGAGGAAAUUAGAGUGUUUCAAGCAAGCGCACGCUUUGAAUACAUUAGCAUGGAAUAAUAAGAUAGGACCUUGGUUCUAUUUUGUUGGUUUCUAGAGCUGAGGUAAUGAUUGAUAGGGAUAGUUGGGGGCAUUCGUAUUUAACCGUCAGAGGUGAAAUUCUUGGAUUUGUUAAAGACGGACUACUGCGAAAGCAUUUGCCAAGGAUGUUUUCAUUGA